GACGAGGGGUCCUAGCGUUGUUCGGAAUCAUUGGGCGUAAAGCGUAUGUAGGCGGCCAUUUAAGUCAGGUGUGAAAUCCCCGGGCUCAACCCGGGAAGUGCAUUUGAUACUGGAUGGCUUGAGUAUGGGAGAGGAUAGUGGAAUUCCUGGUGUAGUGGUGAAAUACGUAGAUAUCAGGAGGAACACCGGUGGCGAAGGCGGCUAUCUGGCCCUAUACUGACGCUGGAGAAUACGAAAGCGUGGGGAGCAAACAGG
rnacentral:rRNA from 1 species